rnacentral:rRNA from 1 species
UGGGGAAUUUUGGACAAUGGGCGAAAGCCUGAUCCAGCAAUGCCGCGUGUGUGAAGAAGGCCUUCGGGUUGUAAAGCACUUUUGUCCGGAAAGAAAUCCUCUGGGUUAAUACCUCGGGGGGAUGACGGUACCGGAAGAAUAAGCACCGGCUAACUACGUGCCAGCAGCCGCGGUCAAUACGUAGGGGUGCAAGCGUUAAUCGGAAUUACUGGGCGUAAAGCGUGCGCAGGCGGUUUUGUAAGACGGAUGUGAAAUCCCCGGGCUUAACCUGGGAACUGCAUUCGUGACUGCAAGGCUAGAGUAUGGCAGAGGGGGGUAGAAUUCCACGUGUAGCAGUGAAAUGCGUAGAGAUGUGGAGGAAUACCGAUGGCGAAGGCAGCCCCCUGGGCCAAUACUGACGCUCAUGCACGAAAGCGUGGGGAGCAAACAGGAUUAGAUACCCUGGUAGUCCACGCCCUAAACGAUGUCAACUAGUUGUUGGGGAUUCAUUUCCUUAGUAACGUAGCUAACGCGUGAAGUUGACCGCCUGGGGAGUACGGUCGCAAGAUU